UACGUAGGGUGCGAGCGUUGUCCGGAAUUAUUGGGCGUAAAGAGCUUGUAGGCGGUUUGUCGCGUCUGCUGUGAAAAUCCGGGGCUCAACCCCGGACUUGCAGUGGGUACGGGCAGACUAGAGUGUGGUAGGGGAGACUGGAAUUCCUGGUGUAGCGGUGAAAUGCGCAGAUAUCAGGAGGAACACCGAUGGCGAAGGCAGGUCUCUGGGCCACUACUGACGCUGAGAAGCAAAAGCAUGGGGAGCGAACAGGAUUAGAUA
rnacentral:rRNA from 1 species